CCUACGGGUGGCAGCAGUGAGGAAUAUUGGUCAAUGGACGAGAGUCUGAACCAGCCAAGUAGCGUGAAGGAUGACUGCCCUAUGGGUUGUAAACUUCUUUUAUAAAGGAUUAAACGGAGGAACGUGUGCUUUUUUGCAUGUACUUUAGGAAUAAGGACCGGCUAAUUCCGUGCAAGCAGCCGGGGUAAUACGGAGGAUCGGAGCGUUAUCCGGAUUUAUUGGGUUUAAAGGGAGCGUAGAUGGGUUGUUAAGUCAGUUGUGAAAGUUUGCGGCUCAACCGUAAAAUUGCAAUUGAUACUGGCAGUCUUGAGUACAGUUGAGGUAGGCGGAAUUCGUGGUGUAGCGGUGAAAUGCUUAGAUAUCACGAAGAACCCCGAUUGCGAAGGCAGCUUACUAAACUGUGACUGACAUUGAUGCUCGAAAGUGUGGGUAUCAAACAGGAGUAGAUACCCCAGUAGUC
rnacentral:rRNA from 1 species